rnacentral:lncRNA from 1 species
CAAGAAAAUGUGUCGGAACAUUUUUGUCCUUCAGCAGAAUUUGACCAACAUCACCAUGUCACGGGAGGCAGACCUGGAUUUUGCAAGAGCCUCCAAAGAAUGAGCCAAUGAAUGAAGGACUGAAUGAGACAGAAACUGCUAGCGACACCUACCAGGCAGUACUACGAGAUGCUCUACAACACGGCCGAUGAGCUCCUGAACCUGGUGGUGGACCAGGGCGUGAAGUACACGGAGCUGGAGUACAUCCACGCCCUGACCUUGCUGCACCGCAGCCAGACGGGGGUGGGAGACCAGACCACCCAGAACAUGCGGCUUCAGCGGCUCAAGGAGAUCAUCUGCGAGCAGGCGGCCAUCAAGCAAGCCACCAAGGAUAAGAAGAUAACUACAGUGUAACCGCCGCCCCGUGGAAGGGGGACAGGGGGACGGCUUGUUUUUGUCUCCUUAGUCAUACUCCUUUCUGGCUGUGUUAUUGGGUGUAGUCUGAGCUGACUUAGUUUUCUCGACACGGAUGCUCAAGUGGAGAGAAGGUAGAAGGAUUUUUUUUUUUUUUUUCCGCUUUGGUUUUGGCUUUUCAUAUAAACUCUCAAGGGAAUUUGCAGUACAGAAUGUUGGGAUCGACCGUUUAUUGGAAUGCCGUCCAUUGCAAAGGGUCCGGGGGUGGGAUGGGAAGGAAGGUUGUAUGACAUUGGACUCAGAACAAGAUGCAUGCACGAUUACUAAUGCCCAGCCGUUUCGGAUAAGUAUAGAUUGUUGCCUAUGUAAACCUCUCAAUAGGGUUCUAUUACAUAAACAGUAGGGUUUUUAUGCUCUUGACCUUGUCCAUUGACAGUUCAGUGAAGCAAGUGCAUGUGCAUUGCUUUCUGUCACCAGGGCCCAUGGCUUCUCAGCUGGCGGUAGUUUUCAGCAAAUUUCCCCUUUGGGGCUGGGGGGAGGAAGUCCUCUUAUGUCAGACCUUGGGAGAGUCUUGUAUGCAGUAGCCUGGACACAGCUUAUGGAUUGGUUUGAUGCCUUUUUGUUUUUAUUUCUACUGUCUCAAAACUGAGAACCAGGAAAUGAAUGAUGAAAAUGCAAGAACAAAAGGUAAUUCAACCCUCUUCCUGAUUUUUUCCUCUACUCUCCAAGAGAAAAUGAUUGUUAGAGAAUUUUUAAUCUCACUGGAAAGAUUGUCUGGGUGUGACUGGUUCUUAAAUGCUCACCCUCCUUAUAAGCCCCAGGGUCUUUUUUUCUUUUUUUUUCUUUUUGUCUGUUUCUUUCUUGCAUGUGUGUGUGUACUUUUUUUUUUUUAACAUAUUUGUUGAAUUAACAUAUAGUUGAUUUACAGUGUUGUACCAAUUUCACCCAAGGUCUUUCUCACCUUAGAAGGUACCCAAACUGGGUGCAGGGAAGGUAAAACCACCACGAUAUCCUUCCUCUGUGCAGCCACCAGCUGAGGAUGUUUCUGAGGUAUACUGGGCUGGCGUGGGAGCACGCUGCUCCUGGCACAUUUGCCUUCCCCACUGACCCCACAUCUCCAAGCCUUCUUGCUGCCUCUGGCUGUCAUAUCACAGAAGAAAGCAAUGCACUGACUGGGACACAGCUUGCAAACACGGGCAAGGGAGAGCUGAAAGGACUCGGACCAGAUGAGGUCAUGCCUCAUGCUCUGAUGGUCCAGAAUUUCGCACCUGUUUGUUCAACUUAGGUCUUGGUGGGAAAAGCAGAAAAUUAAAAAAUGUUUCGAGAAGCGUAGGUGUCGUGUAUUGUUUUUCUUGUGUUUAUUCAGCAAACAUUCCCUGAGAGCCUUACCCAAUGCUGCUGGACGUGGGAGCAGAAAUAAGAUAAUGAGAACACUCUUUCCACCUACAUCGAAGACAGCAUGGGAUCUGGACUCUGACCUAGAUCCCAAGAGGUGUGCACUUGGGGCUGGGUUGGAAAUCAAGCCAGUGGGGUAGCUGUGUAGGGACUUCAGCAGCUGCAGCUGGAGGACAGUCUUCCAGGGGGUUCUGGAAGGAAUGUUGUAAAUCUAUGUGGUGUCAGAGGCCCAGGUGGGAAGAAUUUGAAUCUGUGUGGGAGACCAUCAUGGAAAAAUGUCCUAAGCAGCAUUGCUGGAGGUGAUCUCCCUGGAAGUGGGGCGGGAGGCGGGAGACAGGGGGAGGUCAGUGCUGAUCGCCGUGGCCGUGGCCUGUGCCCAGAGCUUCCGUGCCUUGCCCCUGCCCUCUUCUGUCCUCCCUAGAAAAACAACCUUGGAGUGGUGACAGGGAGGCCAGAAGAGCCAGGGGUGGGCUGGGGGAGUUUAUAGGAGCAUUUUAUUGGCUCUGGAAAGGGAUGUGGGUUUUGACAGUCAAAGGCCAAGAUCACUGAGAACCAGCGGACAAAUGGUGAACAUGCUGCUUCAAGAGAUCAUUUCGGAAAGUAGACUCCCCGCUUUGCUUAUAGUAAUGACGGGAUUGAAAAAUGGUGAUUCUGCACAGAAAAAACAAUCUAGAGUUCUUUUUCCAAGACCUUCAAGGCCCACAUUUCUAUGCAAGAUGGUACAUCCGUCAUUAUUCGCCAACUGAUCAGGAAUAGCCAUUGCCACAGUCCGUGGGUGGUCAGGUGGAUGGAGAUGGCACAGCCACCUCAGGACCUGCCUUCCCUGGGGACACAGUGAGGAUUUCUUCUUGUUAUGGUCCUAGUUUGGGGAUAUUCUGUGUGACUGCUUGUGUGCUGCUCGAAGCCGUGACCGGAAAUCGCUAGAGAGCGCCAGACCCCCCGCGGGUGGAGGCCAGCAUGUGCUCACACCGAUAUGUAGCCACAGGAGUUCAUUUCCAGCCAUGAAGACCACUCCCCAAAGGUCCUGUUGCAGCUUAAAGGGUCAGGAAAAUAGGCCUCCCCAGAAAGGGCACUAAAACAAAGCAAACUCUUGUCUUUCUCUCCUACGAGGUGACAAGGGGGAUCAACAGGUGUAAAACACGACUGUCACAGCACCAUGGAGAAGGCGCACGAGGAAGCGUCCUGAGGUGGACAACAGACAGGAGCAAGAGGAGGGAGGACUGUGGGGCGAGGUCCAGCCUGGUCAUCAGAGAACUAGCUCCCCGAGCUCCAACAACCGAGAGAGCUCACUUCCCUCUGUGUCACUGUCAUCUACUCUCUGGUAAAGUACCACACGUUGUCCCAUUCUGUACUCACAGCAACCGUGUCGCCCAUACUACUUUCUUUCCUUGUAUAUCCAGGGGAUCAGAAAAUGCUAAUGGCGUCUCUCCCAACUUAGCACCCCUUGGAAUAAACUCCGCGAAGCAGAGGUACUCAUUCAGAGGAUCGGAUCCAACGCUUGAGAGGUUUUUGUAAAUCAAGUUGUGUUCCCAGAACUGCUGAUUGUGGUUUCUCCUUCUGCAGGGUUUUGUUACUUUUAAUUCUCUUAUUAUCCCUUGUCACUGGACCUCUUAAUUAUAAAUAGUAUUCUGAUACUGUGCCCUUUCACCCCAGGAGCCAUUCAUUGAUACCUGUGCUAUGGAUGCAGUUUCUCUCAGGGACGUUCACCCUAGGACCGUGCUUUUAUGCCAUAUUUACAAUGGGGCUUUUUAAUCUUAUUGCCCGAGUGGAACGUUUCCUUCCCGCAUACGAUUACAUCUCUGCUGAUUCACAAGGAGCAAGGUUAUAUGUUCCUCAUGCAGCCCUUGGCCGAAGAAGACCUGCUUCCAGGCUAUGAAAGACAAGAUCAUGUUGGAGUGGCCAGGUCAGCUCAAGUUCUGACCUGAGGAUCAACCCUAGGAUCAGACCUAAGCUCCCACAGUCCAUACCCUUGAGACAAUCAGUCAUGAAGAAUCUGGUGGGGACCCCCCCCCACUUGGAAUUACUGCCCUCUGUAGAGUGACCUCGUUCACAGACCCCCCAGCCUCUCUCCAGAACCUCUCCUUCUUGGCGGAUGCUUUCUCAGCCAGUCAUUAUUUAUGUUUCAGAUAGCUUGAGAAGAAAACCACAAAUACAGCCAAGUUGAAUUGGCAACCAAAGCCUGAUCAUUCUUACUGUCAGGUCAUAUCCAGGAAUGUCUUAGCACCAAGGUAUCCAUUGUCAGUCCAAGAGAUAUAAUUGCCUGUCAUGGCAGUAACAAAUCCUGACACGGAUUCAUGCAAUGGCCAACAAAAGAGACAGUCCCUUGUGACGAGGUGCUGGUACUUCCACUCUGAUGAAGAGUCACGCAACUUCCACUCCGGUCUUGUCCUCUCCAGAGCCCAGAUUACCUAAGGCUACCCUUCAUUAAGGAUUGAGAACUGAAAUCUUCAGCCCAACCCUCCGCUACUCUUUUUGCCUUUCUUGUAAGCCCAGGACUGUAUCUCAUUGUUUGCUGUUCCCUCCUUAACUAGCAAAGUACCUGGAAGUUGAUGGAACAAAUGGAUUCCUGCCUCAGUUCCUAGGAAUGUACCAAGGCCAUUUGCAUUCAGCAGUCUUGCCCUGAGAUAGCGCUGUGGCUGGUUCCCCAGGACCAGGGCACAGAUAUUUCACAGUCAACAGCGGGGGGUUACCAGGGUUUCACAGCAAGCCCUCCAUUGGAGGCAGACGUGAUGAGGAGACCAGCAAAGUGGCGGUCCUUCUGGCAGGAUGUGAAAACAAGAAGCGAACUGAUCAACACAAUUUUGCUUGGAAAGCAAAGCAUGUGCAGUAAUACGCACACCUGGGCGCAGCUGUCUUAAUGUGGCAGGGAUGCACAACAAACCGGGCAUCAUUUGGAGGGAGGGUAAUGAGGGACCAAGAGCAAGAAAACAAAGGAUGACUGCGCUCCGCGAAGGUCUCGACUCCCUUCUAAUUAGGCACAGUUGUUCUACGAAGUACGUAAUUAAUAAGCGUGUGACCAGAUGCGAAGUACAGCGGCGGCUCUUCCGGCGCUGGACGUGGUGAUGAAGUGUGCACAGCUGGAGGUAGUUGUUCUAAUUUGGCGGAGGCAGAAGGCCCGCCUGGAGUUUUGAGGAGGUGCAGUGAGAGCCGUACACCUGAAAGCAGCUCAUCCUAUUCCGACUGGGCCGGGGUGUAAUGAGAUGGAGCUAAUUAUCAGGAGUGUAAUGAGAUGCCAAAGCCCCUGGAGUUGAGCUGGAAAUUUCAAAGUGAGCUAAGCUGCAAACCCAAGAGAAGAAUUUCCACCGAUGGAGCCGGGUGUGAGUAGGAGGAAGUGUGCCUGAUUGAAAGACCUGCCUUCACGCCCCUGAGCCGAAGACUUCUGUCUGAAACUGCACAGGAUGCCAGGACCUUCCCCCACCUGGAGCAGGAGUCCCUGGGAACCUGAGAACACCAUGACCUGGAAAAGCUGCACAUGGAUUUCUUUUAAUGUGUAUAUGGUUUAUUUAUGUCCACACAACUGAAAAGAAAUCAAGUCAGGUGCUGUCGCGUGAGUGUCGUGGCCAUUAUAUUCCAUCUCAUUUAGAAAUGUGGCCUCAGAUUCCUGCUGACUUUGCAAAUAGAUACUCCAGGAGGAGAAAAAUUAGCAACCUCCUCAUCUCAAACUUCUUUCAUUACCUACCAGCCACAUUUUCUUUCACGAGGAUUUAUUUACCGCCAGAGAGCAGGAAACCCCUUAAUACCUGUUUUCUGUUCACGGUUUUUAUUUUACAGUUGCUGUUAUUUUAGACACCAUUUAUUGAACACUGAAUAUGUGUGAGAUGCUGUGCUAAAUGCUUUACCAUAGACUUCCAUUUAAUCCACAUGCUGGAGUUCCUCCCAUGGCUCAGCAGUUAACGAAUCUGACUAGCAUCCAUGAGGACCCAGGUUCGAUCCCUGCCCUUGCUCCAUGGGUUAAGGAUCUGGCGUGGCCGUGAGCUGUGGUGUGGGUGACAGCCUCUGUGCGGAUCCUGCAUUACUGUGGCUGUGGCAUAGUCCGACAGCUGUAGCUCCCAUUCAACCCCUAGCCUGGAACCUCCGCCUGCCGCAGAUGCGGCCCUAAAAAGCAAAAAGAAAAAAGAAAAAA